rnacentral:rRNA from 1 species
AGCGAACGCUGGCGGCAGGCUUAACACAUGCAAGUCGAGCGGGCAUCUUCGGAUGUCCGCGGCACACGGGUGAGUAACACGUGGGAACGUACCCUUCGGUUCGGAACAACUCUGGGAAACUGGAGCUAAUACCGGAUACGCCCUUAUGGGGAAAGGUUUACUGCCGAAGGAUCGGCCCGCGUCUGAUUAGCUAGUUGGUGGGGUAACGGCCUACCAAGGCGACGAUCAGUAGCUGGUCUGAGAGGAUGAUCAGCCACACUGGGACUGAGACACGGCCCAGAAUCCCACGGGAGGCAGGAGUGGGGAAUAUUGGACAAUGGGCGCAAGCCUGAUCCAGCCAUGCCGCGUGAGUGAUGAAGGCCUUAGGGUUGUAAAGCUCUUUUGUCCGGGACGAUAAUGACGGUACCGGAAGAAUAAGCCCCGGCUAACUUCGUG